CUGCCUUCCACAUAAGCAGGUUUCCCAUAAGCGUCGCUUCAGACUUCGCCCGGUGACCGAUGGAUCUCCAUCUCUUCACGUGAACAUCAGUGAAACUCCAGAGUAAGGAGGGACAUUGGUCUGACCUUGGAAAGCCCAUGACGACGAACCAGGAAACCAUCAGUGCAGGGUCCAAAGACUGACACGUGAUCCGCGGGGUACUUGGACAAACAUCACGUGACGUCCAACAAAGGUAUUCGUUGAGUAAUUCGACGACACUCUCUCAUCCAACCAAGGGCACCCAGGGGAACUGCGACGCUUGUACGCUUCUAUAACAUCGAAUAAGAUACCGUGCUCGUACUCCGCUACCUGAGCUGCCCAGGACGUUAAGCCUGAGUAGGUAAAAGCACACAGAGGGACAGCAUCAACACAGGAGCACACAGUUUGUGUGUCAAGGCGCAGGCUCUUGCACAAUGGAGUUUCUCCACCUGCUUGACUGCAUAUGUGCCAUCUUGUCGUGUUUCCUUGCUCUGCUGUACGGUACGUAUUCUUUUUAUUUAGCCCCGACUCCAGAAUGCAUUACCCAACCCUCUCUCACGCUCCCACGUGGUCUAUACAUGACCUCCUUACCCCAACCUAGCGUAAUUG